rnacentral:lncRNA from 1 species
GGGCCAUGGGGUCUUCUCAUCAGAGGGGGCGGUUUGGCUUAUGACCCUAGCAUUGUGACCUCACUUCCUUGGCGACAGGUCCAAACAGAACUCGGAACCCUGGAGUCACUGGGCAGCACAGUCCAGCGACGGCUGCCUAACAGUCACUUGGCUGGAGAGAGUCAGCAGGGAUCAUGCUGUGCUGCUUUUCCAGGCCUCGAGGCCACAGCAGUAGGACCCCGCCCAGGGAAAGCACUUGGGUGCGAAUGAGAGGAUGGAUGGCUAAGUCCCCAUGCUUCAGGCCACUCACCAGGAACUACCUGGCCUUCAGGGGCAGCACAGGGCGGGUCUCACCAGACCCAGAGACCUGGGGACCUGAGAUGAGCGGGAGCCCAGGGCAGAUCUCCCUGGACCUGGACACCAGACACUCGGGGCCACCGAGUCCAGGACAGGUCCAGUCAGGCCCGGCCACCACUAUUGGGGCCCAAAGGGAGGAGAGCCGGGCAGAGGACUGCAUGGUGAGAACGGCGCUGGCAUGCAGCUCCCCCUGAGGGAGCCCCCAGAAUGGGACUUCCUGGACAGCCGCCCCAUCCACGCAGACUCCCUCCUGGACCCUUCUGGGGCCUGCAGGAGGGGAUGGUGUGAAGGCGAGCUCUGUGGUCGGCACCCAGCGGCACUUGGCCACUGUGGCCCCAAGUCUUUGGAAGGUCCUCCUUUUUUGUCCUCCACUUCUUGGUGGAGCUGCACUCCCAGGAGAAUCCACCAGGUGAACUCCUGGCCCAGCUGGAGCAAGCUGAGCCCACUGAGGCACAGCCCACGGGACCAGCUCCAGCCCCAGGUGAAGUCCCACGUGUGGAGCCUGAGCCAGCUCCACCUGCAGAGCUUCCUGCCCAGCGCUGGGACCACAGCCAGAGUCCAUGGAAGCCCCUUAACCUGCUGCAGUGCUGGGGCACCCGGUGGUUGCAUGGUGGUCAGUGUCACCUCCUGAGCUCCCCCUGGGGCCAGCUCCUGGCCCCCUCCCACUGUUCCCCUCACUUAUGCUGGCUCUUGUUUUGAUAUUUAAAAUUGCCCUUAUAUCUUGGAUUUAUAUAAAUAAUAGAACUAGCUUUUAAUAAAACUUAAAAUUUUAGUGUUUAAAAGGGUCAGCAUGGUGACCUGAAGUG